GACAAACGCUGGCGGCGUGCCUAAUACAUGCAAGUCGAGCGCAGGAAGCUGACGGAACUCUUCGGAGGGAAGGCAGUGGAACGAGCGGCGGACGGGUGAGUAACACGUAAGGAACCUGCCUCAAGGAUUGGGAUAACUCCGAGAAAUCGGAGCUAAUACCGGAUAGUUCAACGGACCGCAUGGUCCGCUGAUGAAAGGCGCUUCGGCGUCACCUUGAGAUGGCCUUGCGGUGCAUUAGCUAGUUGGUGGGGUAACGGCCCACCAAGGCGACGAUGCAUAGCCGACCUGAGAGGGUGAUCGGCCACACUGGGACUGAGACACGGCCCAGACUCCUACGGGAGGCAGCAGUAGGGAAUCUUCCACAAUGGACGAAAGUCUGAUGGAGCAACGCCGCGUGAGUGAUGAAGGUUUUCGGAUCGUAAAACUCUGUUGUAAGGGAAGAGCACGUACGAGAGGGAAUGCUCGUACCUUGACGGUACCUUACGAGAAAGCCACGGCUAACUACGUGCCAGCAGCCGCUGUAAAAC
rnacentral:rRNA from 1 species